rfam:Pteropus vampyrus cont1.251555, whole genome shotgun sequence.
UGCCACUUAGGUUCAUUUUAUCCGGUUAAUGGAUUUUUCAGCCCCAUUGCUUCCCUGCUCUACCACUCAUCUUUUGAACUUCUUGCACUCAAAGACUUUUACCCAAAAAUGAGGAUAAAAGAGGAAGGAAGAUACCAGUCACUUU